CUUCACCGACCCCAGCAGCAGCGGCACCUCCCGGCCCUGGCCGUAGGUCGCCAGCAACGCGCCGGCCUC
rnacentral:antisense_RNA from 1 species